GUGGGGAAUUUUGGACAAUGGGCGCAAGCCUGAUCCAGCAAUGCCGCGUGCAGGAAGAAGGCCUUCGGGUUGUAAACUGCUUUUGUACGGAACGAAAAGGCUCUGGUUAAUACCUGGGGCUCAUGACGGUACCGUAAGAAUAAGCACCGGCUAACUACGUGCCAGCAGCCGCGGUAAUACGUAGGGUGCAAGCGUUAAUCGGAAUUACUGGGCGUAAAGCGUGCGCAGGCGGUUUUGUAAGACAGGCGUGAAAUCCCUGGGCUCAACCUGGGAAUGGCGCUUGUGACUGCAAGGCUGGAGUGCGGCAGAGGGGGAUGGAAUUCCGCGUGUAGCAGUGAAAUGCGUAGAUAUGCGGAGGAACACCGAUGGCGAAGGCAAUCCCCUGGGCCUGCACUGACGCUCAUGCACGAAAGCGUGGGGAGCAACAGGAUUAGAUACCCUUGUAGUCC
rnacentral:rRNA from 1 species